UCUCUUGAUGAAAUACUUCAGACCUGUUCUGAACCCUUGUGGAGAUAACUUUCUAUUGCCUUUUAUUUUCUGAUA
rfam:Rhizopogon vinicolor AM-OR11-026 unplaced genomic scaffold K503scaffold_323, whole genome shotgun sequence.